UCCAGACUCCUACGGGAGGCAGCAGUGGGGAAUAUUGCACAAUGGGGGAAACCCUGAUGCAGCGACGCCGCGUGAGUGAAGAAGUAUUUCGGUAUGUAAAGCUCUAUCAGCAGGGAAGAAAAUGACGGUACCUGACUAAGAAGCCCCGGCUAACUACGUGCCAGCAGCCGCGGUAAUACGUAGGGGGCAAGCGUUAUCCGGAUUUACUGGGUGUAAAGGGAGCGUAGACGGCAGAGCAAGUCUGAAGUGAAAGCCCGCGGCCCAACUGCGGGACUGCUCUGGAAACUGCGUCGCUGGAGUACGGGAGGGGCAGGCGGAAUUCCUGGUGUAGCGGUGAAAUGCGUAGAUAUCAGGAGGAACACCGGCGGCGAAGGCGGCCUGCUGGACCGUGACUGACGUUGAGGCUCGAGAGCGUGGGGAGCAAACAGGAUUAGAUACCCGUGUACAA
rnacentral:rRNA from 1 species